rnacentral:rRNA from 1 species
GGCGCAUUAGCUAGUUGGUGAGGUAAUGGCUCACCAAGGCAACGAUGCGUAGCCGACCUGAGAGGGUGAUCGGCCACACUGGGACUGAGACACGGCCCAGACUCCUACGGGAGGCAGCAGUAGGGAAUCUUCCGCAAUGGACGAAAGUCUGACGGAGCAACGCCGCGUGAGUGAUGAAGGUUUUCGGAUCGUAAAGCUCUGUUGUUAGGGAAGAACAAGUACCGUUCGAAUAGGGCGGUACCUUGACGGUACCUAACCAGAAAGCCACGGCUAACUACGUGCCAGCAGCCGCGGUAAUACGUAGGUGGCAAGCGUUGUCCGGAAUUAUUGGGCGUAAAGGGCUCGCAGGCGGUUCCUUAAGUCUGAUGUGAAAGCCCCCGGCUCAACCGGGGAGGGUCAUUGGAAACUGGGGAACUUGAGUGCAGAAGAGGAGAGUGGAAUUCCACGUGUAGCGGUGAAAUGCGUAGAGAUGUGGAGGAACACCAGUGGCGAAGGCGACUCUCUGGUCUGUAACUGACGCUGAGGAGCGAAAGCGUGGGGAGCGAACAGGAUUAGAUACCCUGGUAGUCCACGCCGUAAACGAUGAGUGCUAAGUGUUAG